ACGGCCAUACCAUGCUGAAUAUACCGGUUCUCGUUCGAUCACCGAAGUGAAGCAUCAUUUCAGUAUUAUGACCACCUGGGAACAACGCGUGCCGUUG